rnacentral:miRNA from 1 species
UGAAACAUUAACACACUU